rnacentral:lncRNA from 1 species
CUCUCUAUUGCUCCUACCUCCCCAAACCCAUUCCUCUUGCUUCCAGACCCAAGCCCAUCGAGAGGCUUGGAGAAUGCUGGGGGAAGAUGGUGUGGGCCGGGCUCAGCCCACCCAGCCCCCUGCCCACCUCCACACCCUACUCCCCUCCCCCAGCCAGGGGCCCUGGGCUGGGCAGCUUCCUGCCUUCCCCAUGGGGAAAUCGGGGGUGGCAUGCAGGUGGGUGGGCCCCAUGCCCACAUCCGGUGGCCGCCAGAACCUUCCCUCGAGCCUCUUUCCCUCCACUCCUCCAAGCCCCCUUCUCUCCCCGUAGCACCUGUGCCCCACCUUAGGACCUGGUCCUCACCCAGCUCUGCCCUGCUCUCUUGUCCUCAUAGGCCCCAAGGAGAGCAUGAACACCUAGCCUAGUGUCAUCAGGCCCACUGGGCCUGAGAGUGCCCCCCUGUGCCCUGCAGGCUGAGGCUGCAGGAGGGGUGCCUUUGCAGGGUGCUGAGAACAACAGCCUCCAUGGAGGGUGUGCUGGCCCCAGUGCCCUUCAUGCAUCGGCACCUCCACGGCCCCACGGGAGCACAUGCAGAGGAGCCAGGGUUUGGCCUGAGUGUUGGGAAGGGAAGGGAGUUUUCUGGGCUGGGGUCAGCAGCGGUGAGGCUCAGAGAGAAGGUCCUUUUCUUGUGCUGGAAUUCUGGACUCCCUGUUUUGGGCACUCACUGAGGGCCCUGUCGAGGAGCCCUGGUCUUCUGGGGACACCCUCAAUGCCCUGAGUCAGUCCCAGGCUCUUGAGCCAUCCCUUGGAGCUGGUGCCAUGGGGGGAAGGGCAGCUGGGGCCGGAAGCCACCUGCCCAGGGCAUGAGAGAGGGUCCCCAGCCCUCCCGCGGGCCCACCCUCUGUUUCCUGUCAGUCUGUCCUCCCCAGGGAGGGAGGGAGGGCGCUCAUCCCCUGCGGGCGGGGGCGGGGCGGGCUCUGAGACCGUUGGGCGCCCUGAGAUCUGGCCCACGUGGCCUCGGGGUUAUAAGCCCUGCCCUCCCUGAAGGGAACCCCACUUCGGAGCCUGGAGCACAGGGCGAGCCCUCCUCCGCUCUGCAGCCUCAGAUGCCUGAAAUACCUCCGUGGCUCUCCCGCCCUUCCUGGUUCCGGACAGCUGGGGAAAGGCCACAGUCGCUCCUCUGCUGCCCUGCAGUCUUUGGGGGCGGGGAGGGCUGGACGUGUGGAACCCUGAUGCAGCCGCAGCCGCAAGGACGAGGAAGGGGUGGGAAGGGAGGGUACAUGGAGGGGAAUGGGUGGUGGUGCCAGGGACCCAAUGCUAAUAAAGACUGGACUGUGCUUCUCUUUUGUCUGAGACUCUGUGGCUGGGGUGGGGAGCUGAAUGCGGGCGGCAGGCACGCAGACAGUAUGGGCACGCGGAAGGGCUGAGAGGGAGAACCUGUGUCACUCCUCUGAGAGAUAUGGGUUUGGCCCUGCCUAUGAGAUUAGAAGAAGGCUCUGGGCCUGGCCAGGCCACAGCUGGAGGAGAGAAGGGCCUGGGCCAUCUGCAGAAAGGGGCAGGGAUGUAAGGCAUCCUCUCACCUUCUACCCUAGCUCUGGCCCUAUCCUGCCCCCCACUCACUCUCUACAUGCCCAAACUGAAAGCUGCCUAUAUCCAGUUGUAAUCUAAGAAAGUCUAGGGGGCCUUAGGUCCUAUAAAAAUUGGGCAAAAUCCACUGUGGCACAUACACAGCACCUUAGACAAGGGCGCAGACACUCAUAUACAAAGCACGCACUGAGAUGCAAAUGCAUUUACACAUAGAGGCCCCAUGCAGUGUGCCACUAACACACACAGACACAUGUGACAUGACUGGUAUGACACACAGGGAUUACACACACCCAGGGCACAUACAUAUUCAGUAGUACACACAUGCGAUAAUAGAUCUAGGACGUGUCUUACACAUAGAAGAGCACACACAUACAGUGACAUUCACAUAAUAAACACAGUGGCUCCAUACA